GAUGAACGCUGGCGGCGUGCCUAAUACAUGCAAGUCGAGCGAACGGACGAGAAGCUUGCUUCUCUGAUGUUAGCGGCGGACGGGUGAGUAACACGUGGAUAACCUACCUAUAAGACUGGGAUAACUUCGGGAAACCGGAGCUAAUACCGGAUAAUAUUUUGAACCGCAUGGUUCAAAAGUGAAAGACGGUCUUGCUGUCACUUAUAGAUGGAUCCGCGCUGCAUUAGCUAGUUGGUAAGGUAACGGCUUACCAAGGCAACGAUGCAUAGCCGACCUGAGAGGGUGAUCGGCCACACUGGAACUGAGACACGGUCCAGACUCCUACGGGAGGCAGCAGUAGGGAAUCUUCCGCAAUGGGCGAAAGCCUGACGGAGCAACGCCGCGUGAGUGAUGAAGGUCUUCGGUUCGUAAAGCUCUGUUAUUAGGGAAGAACAUAUGUGUAAGUAACUGUGCACAUCUUGACGGUACCUAAUCAGAAAGCCACGGCUAACUACGUG
rnacentral:rRNA from 1 species